GAUGAACGCUGGCGGCGUGCCUAAUACAUGCAAGUCGAGCGAACGGACGAGAAGCUUGCUUCUCUGAUGUGAGCGGCGGACGGGUGAGUAACACGUGGAUAACCUACCUAUAAGACUGGGAUAACUUCGGGAAACCGGAGCUAAUACCGGAUAAUAUUUUGAACCGCAUGGUUCAAAAGUGAAAGACGGUCUUGCUGUCACGUAUAGAUGGAUCCGCGCUGCAUUAGCUAGUUGGUAAGGUAACGGCUUACCAAGGCAACGAUGCAUAGCCGACCUGAGAGGGUGAUCGGCCACACUGGAACUGAGACACGGUCCAGACUCCUACGGGAGGCAGCAGUAGGGAAUCUUCCGCAAUGGGCGAAAGCCUGACGGCGCAACGCCGCGUGAGUGAUGAAGGUCUUCGGAUCGUAAAACUCUGUUAUUAGGGAAGAACAUAUGUGUAAGUAACUGUGCACAUCUUGACGGUACCUAACCAGAAAGCCACGGCUAACUACGUG
rnacentral:rRNA from 1 species